rnacentral:rRNA from 1 species
CAAAACCACUCUCGGCAACGGAUAUCUCGGCUCUUGCAUCCAUGAAGAACGUAGCGAAAUGCGAUACGUGGUGUGAAUUGCAUAAUCCCGUGAACCAUCCAGUUUUUGAACCCAAAUUGCGCCCAAGGACUUUUGGUUGAGGGCACGUCUGCCUGGG